rnacentral:rRNA from 2 species
GGACUACUCGGGUUUCUAAUCCUGUUUGCUCCCCACGCUCUCGCGCCUCAGUGUCAGUAUCUGUCCAGGUAGCCGCCUUCGCCACUGAUGUUCCUUCCGAUCUCUACGCAUUUCACCGCUACACCGGAAAUUCCACUACCCUCUACAGUACUCAAGCUAUACAGUCAUCGUUGCAGUUCCUAGGUUAAGCCCAGGGAUUUCACAACAAUCUUACAUAACCACCUACGCGCCCUUUACGCCCAGUAAUUCCGAUUAACGCUCGCACCCUCUGUAUUACCGCGGCGGCUGGCAC